GGCGGCAUGCUUAACAUGCAAGUCGAACGGCAGCACGGGUGCUUGCACCUGGUGGCGAGUGGCGAACGGGUGAGUCAUCCAUCGGAAUGUACCUUGUAGUGGGGGAUCGCUCGGCGAAAGCCGGAUUAAUACCGCAUACGCUCUGAGGAGGAAAGCGGGGACCUUCGGGCCUCGUGCUACAAGAGCAGCCGAUGUCAGAUUAGCUAGUUGGUGGGGUAAAAGCUCACCAAGGCGACGAUCUGUAGCUGGUCUGAGAGGACGACCAGCCACACUGGGACUGAGACACGGCCCAGACUCCUACGGGAGGCAGCAGUGGGGAAUUUUGGACAAUGGGCGAAAGCCUGAUCCAGCAAUGCCGCGUGUGUGAAGAAGGCCUUCGGGUUGUAAAGCACUUUUGUCCGGAAAGAAAUCCUCUGGGUUAAUACCUCGGGGGGAUGACGGUACCGGAAGAAUAAGCACCGGCUAACUACGUGCCAGCAGCCGCGGUAAUACGUAGGGUGCAAGCGUUAAUCGGAAUUACUGGGCGUAAAGCGUGCGCAGGCGGUUUUGUAAGACGGAUGUGAAAUCCCCGGGCUUAACCUGGGAACUGCAUUCGUGACUGCAAGGCUAGAGUAUGGCAGAGGGGGGUAGAAUUCCACGUGUAGCAGUGAAAUGCGUAGAGAUGUGGAGGAAUACCGAUGGCGAAGGCAGCCCCCUGGGCCAAUACUGACGCUCAUGCACGAAAGCGUGGGGAGCAAACAGGAUUAGAUACCCUGGUAGUCCACGCCCUAAACGAUGUCAACUAGUUGUUGGGGAUUCACUUCCUUAGUAACGAAGCUAACGCGUGAAGUUGACCGCCUGGGGAGUACGGUCGCAAGAUUAAAACUCAAAGGAAUUGACGGGGACCCGCACAAGCGGUGGAUGAUGUGGAUUAAUUCGAUGCAACGCGAAAAACCUUACCUACCCUUGACAUGUACGGAAUCCUGCUGAGAGGCGGGAGUGCUCGAAAGAGAACCGUAACACAGGUGCUGCAUGGCUGUCGUCAGCUCGUGUCGUGAGAUGUUGGGUUAAGUCCCGCAACGAGCGCAACCCUUGUCCUUAGUUGCUACGCAAGAGCACUCUAGGGAGACUGCCGGUGACAAACCGGAGGAAGGUGGGGAUGACGUCAAGUCCUCAUGGCCCUUAUGGGUAGGGCUUCACACGUCAUACAAUGGUCGGUACAGAGGGCUGCCAAACCGCGAGGUGGAGCUAACCCCAGAAAACCGAUCGUAGUCCGGAUCGCAGUCUGCAACUCGACUGCGUGAAGCUGGAAUCGCUAGUAAUCGCGGAUCAGCAUGUCGCGGUGAAUACGUUCCCGGGUCUUGUACACACCGCCCGUCACACCAUGGGAGUGGGUUUGCCAGAAGUAAGUAGCCUAACCGUAAGGAGG
rnacentral:rRNA from 1 species